AAAAAAAAGUCAUGGUGGUUUACAUCAUUACUGAAAUAAAAGUUGUCAUCCGGUUGCCACUCUCAGUUGCACUGAGCUGGCUGGGCUAGAGCGGCAGGCAGGUUAAUACCAGCGAGAACGUAAGUCCACCUAGUUUGCAGUUUAGGAGAGGGCUGGGGUUAGGUACAGCCCCUUUCAAAAAGAAGAGGAGAGAGUACAAAUCUUUAAUGAAAGUGGAGAUUAGAAACUCAAAAAGAAGGAAAAGAUUAAAGAACAAAAACAAGGAGGCAUUGGCAGCUUUCAGAAUGUGGGCAGGAUGCUGGUAAGGAUGAUCGUAAAUGGUUCAGAGACCUAAUAAGUCAUUUACCCAAAGUUCCUGUUGAUUUCAGAGGAUCUUUUCCAGGAUGAAGAAAGAAGCUUCCUAAGAAAAUACUUGAAUGUAGCCAGCACUACUACUGAGAUAAGACUGUAAAACACUCCAUGCUAUUAAUAAGGCACCUAGGAACAUUAACAGUCAUGUAGAGAAAAUUAGAUGUCAAACAGGAUUCCAGGGUUUUUUUUUCCUUCUGUUCAGUGACCAUCCCGUCUGGUUUCAUAGUAGCAUACUGCAGGAAAGCCUGCUUUUUACAGUGCCUGAUGGAAUGGCCCCUGAUCUCUGGUAAGACCAAGAAACCAAUAUUUUCAUAAACAGGAAAACAAAGUUAAUCCCUAGAGAUUCUGCAGUAAUAGUAAAAAUAAUAGCAUAGCAUUAUUUAGUAUUUGCAUCACAAUAGCAAGCAGAGAAGCCAAACAAAUUGGAAGUUGCUUAAUGCCAGGCGAUGUGCAAACAUAUAACAGCAACAUGCAACCUAAACAGAGGAGACAGCCAGAGGGUGAGACAGGAAGCAGAGACACUGGGUGGUAUCUUAACUGUGACAUUCCAAGGCCACAUACAAGCAUACGAUAAAAUGAAGGGAAGUUACAGAAAACACUUUAGAAACCCAAUUAUUGGAGCGGCCUCUUGCAAGCCAAAGGAUUUUUUUGCAUGCAUACUUAGUGUAAAAAUGCUAUUGUUUGUAGGGUUGUAUUUCUAUCAGAAAAAGGAAAACGAAUGAAGGUAUCAUUCUGAGCUUUCACUGCAGCCUCACAGUGAAGCAACUAUAUGGUACUCCUUUUCGCUAUAGCUAUUUAGCUUUCUGAUAGAAAUGUUCCUUUUAUCUGAGAAAUUCCCUUUAGAUUUGCACUUGGUAGCUCCUUUCAUUCAUAGAUCUUCUCUUCAUUAUGCAGAAGAAAUCUGAGCUACUUUGCCAAGUUCAGGCCUUUACAUGUUGAGUGAGAAGUCACUGAGCCAAGAGGACACAUGUACUUUUCCAUUCUCCUCUCGCUUUCUUGGUGUGUUGUAAAUCUGCCUUAUGCUAAUUUAGCAAAAGACAACCGUAGCUUGUGCUCCAAGUCUCUGUCCUAUGGAUCCAAUUUGGAAAGAGACACACCUAUAUGGCCAUAAGGGCUAUAAGGCUCUAUCUACAGAGCCAUGCAAGGCAGGCACGGCUUGUCAGGCUCCACACGGGCAGUCAGCAGGCUGCUAUGUAGAGGAGCGUGAAUCCAAACUCCGUUCAGGUUCAGAGGGAUUGCUGGGACUUCAGGCUCAAACUACUGCCUCUUCUGGAGAGAGCAAGUAAAAUUUUCCCUUACCCUAACUUGCUCACCGGGAGGAACCAUGUAGCGAAAGCAUGGGAAGGUGAAUAUCCCCCAUAGCUUCCUCUUUCAAAGCAGGCAAUUUUUCCAGUAGUGUCAUGUGGUUGAGAAGACAAGUAAGAAGCCAGACAUGCUUCCCCUCCCCGCUUUUGCUCAUCUUCUCCUCAAGCUGACUGUUAUGACCAGACUCAACUUCAGCAUUAGGUUAUGAAUAGACCCUUGCAAGUGAUUAACCCAGCAGAGCUUAACGCGUUGCUUCUUGUUAGCUGAGUCACGUUAAUUGACCGCACUCCUAGCUCUUUGCCUGUGGCAGCUGUAAAGCAAACGCAUGUGCUUAGACUGCCUUCAUGAAGAUACACAGUCGCCACAGGUGAGGAAUGUGCAUCUGGUCAAUUAAUGUGGCUCAAUGAAUAGGUGACUUAACCACUUGCAAUUGCUGGUCCACACCUUCACUGCGUUGUAUACAGCUGCCCUAGAAAUAGAGGAAUCCCAUGGUGUUUAUGAGUGUUACACCCACACACUGCUAUUUAGGCACAGCUAACAUGCUCAUUUUAUUGUUCAUUUUAAAAAAGAGAACAACGCAUUGUAUCAUUAUAUUUGGAAUUAAAAAGCAAUUUUUCCCUUUCAGAAAGUAAUCAUUCUUUCACAUACAUCAUCAAGGCCGGCAAAACAACGUAUUUCCAUUUGUUGCGUUGUUGUAAGCUACCUAACAAGCAUUCUGGCACACAGGGUGGGAAAAAUAUCACUUAUCAUCAGAGGUUCAUAUGAAUAUUGAGUUAAUUCUGCUUGGCCAUUUUUAUGCUUAGGUAAGACCCUGAAGACAGAAUUAGAGAAAGAAGAAGUUUUUGAAAGAUAAAGUUAUUGCAUAUUACUACCUUUGGAUAUGAGAGAAGAAGUAGUCAACAAUGUGGGUUUGGCCUAAGAUGCCCGCAACGUCCCUGUGAUUCACCCGCUCCUGCAUGAAACUUGGCCAAAUUUGUGCAGGCACAUCUUCUUCAGUACUGCUUUGCUCCUUCUCCCCAAAAUUUUCAGGAGUGGAGCCCUGAGAAACAGAGCUUGAGAAAGAAGAUGAACUAGUGGUUAGACUGACUGGAUCUACACUCAAACUCUGGAUUAAGUUUCUGGUUUUACCACAUGCUACAUGUAGGACUUGAGGCAAGCCAUACUGUCUCUUUAUGCUACAAUUCCUCAUCUGCAAAGCGGGAUAAUAACACUUUCUCUACAUCACAGGAUUCUUGUGAAGAAAAGCCCAUUCAUAGUAAUGAGAAGCUUACCUAGAAUGGUAACAAUGAUUGCAGCUCAGAUAAUGAUGUUCCACCAUCCUAACAUGCAACUGCAUCACUGACCGCAGGGCUGGGACUGGUGAUUUUCGGUGGCUGGAUCUGCGCAAGGGAAGGUCAGUGGCUGGAUAUGUGGCCCCAUUCAAACACCCCUCACACGGUGUCCUUCAGGAGGCAAUUCAGAAAUUACCACCCGUGGUACUUAAGGGGCACAAACAAAGGCCUCUUAGAAAAAUGUUCAAAAUCAUAAUAAAAGAGUCUGGAAAAAUAACAAAAGCCAAGAGAAGAAAGAAAAUCAAUGGAAAACAUUGCAGGAGCGCUGCCUUCUGCAUUAUAUUUUCAGUUGCUAUAGAUUUCAUUAAGGACACGACACCUGUAUUGCUAAAAAGCCUAGGUGUCAGAAGUAUUCAUAGAGACUCAAAACAAAGAGCAACAGCUUUUGAAUAAUUUUUCAUAUGUUUGAUAUCCUCUUUCGGAUUGCUUUAUUACAGCUGGUUGAUUUAAGUAUAGCUAGGGAAACUUUCCACUGCAUAAACUUGUCUCUCCAGUCUCUCCCUGUGAUGCUGGCCAAGCUCAGCUUAGCGGAAACUCCUUAGCUUAGCGGAAACUCCUUAGCACUGCAGCAUUUUCCAUUUUUACCCAUGGAGCCGAACUACACAUGAUCUGCAAAAUGCGGACAACUAGCACAGAGGUGAGACGGAGGAGGAUGACAACUCCUCUUAAUUUGGAGAACUGGAACACAGCAUAACCAGGUUGUCACUGGGUAUCUUGCCGUGAAGAUGAUCUUACCUUGCACACUGGUCAUGGUCCAUGUUUGAUUCAUGCUCGCCAUGUUUAGCUCAGAAGAGUGAAAGCUCCUUCUUUCUUUCUCUCUUUUCUAAAGACAAUAUAUGGCCCAACGAAUGGAGAGGAGAGAGCUGUGAUAAAAGAUCACAGUGGUGCAAACACCUAUUUUGAAUUGAUAGGAGCCGUGGGUGUGGAGCACCCAAGAGGGAGCCCCAACCCAUCUGCACAGUCAGAUCCAUCUCGUCAUCACAGACCAAAGUCCUGAGCUUGCGAGCGAAGUUAGUGAGAUGUGAAAGUUCAUCAGCUUACACCAGAGCCACACGCCAGAGUAUUUGGGCAUGGUUUACAUUUUCCUUCAUUGCCCAUCGGUGACCUGAACCAUACCAGUUUUUAGGCACUGGUUAUUCCACGGCUCCCUCCAGGCCUUAUGAACGCCGGGGCAGAAUUAAUCGCCUUUAUCGCUAACCGUCCCGGCACGUCCUACCUUCCCGGACACGGCGCAGGUGGCACAAGCAUGCGGGCAGGCCAGGCGACGCCUCCGGCCCGGUCUCCUCUCCUC